AAAUCAUCAUUUAGUGCUGGAUUUUCUCUGUAUUGUUGCAACAAUACAGAGAAAAUUAGCAUGGCCCCUGCACAAGGGUGACACACAAAUUCAUGAAGCAUUCCGUAUUUUU